rnacentral:lncRNA from 1 species
ACCCCUCCCUCCAAUUCUCCCCGCGCGUUCCACCCAUCUCCCUGCAACCCCUUGUCGGUACCUGCCCGGCUCCCCUUCUCUGCGCGUGCCGCGGUUCCACACCCUUGGCUCUCCUAGCUCGGGCACGCGCAGUGCUUACCACUCUCGGGUGAACUCGGAAGCGGGCACCUGAAACCGUAUGGUGGCCGCAUAACGUCAGACGGAAGUGAUAAGCCGACGGGCUUGUACUUCCGGGCUAGCGCUGUGCUUGUGAGGGUGCUGAGUCUUGAGCCACGCUAUGUCGGGCAGAGACGGUAACGGGGUCUCUAGAAAGCUAGUGUCCCCUUUUCUCCUGCCGGCCCUUAGGGUUCGCUUUAAUGCGGCUAAAGGCUGAGCCCGUCCCAUGUCCCGGAUCGGCACUAGAGGAAACAGAGACUUGCUGGGCUUUGUGUUCCCGCCGUCCCUUCGUGCGUGGCUCUGGAGUGGGUGCCGCUCGCGCUCCCCCCCUUUUCCCUUUCUCCCCGUGAGGGCUCCGGGGCGAGCGCCGCUCUCCUCCCGCAAAGGGUCCGGGGGUGGGGGGCUCGCAUGCGAACACCCGGCUCUGCGCCUCACUGUUUCCUUUUCCUUUGGUGUAGGUGGUAAGAAGAAACCUCUGAAGCAACCGAAGAAACAGGCAAAGGACAUGGACGAGGAAGAUUUGGCCUUCAAGCAAAAACAGAAGGAAGAGCAGAAGAAACUUGAGGAGAUGAAGACAAAAGCUUCUGGGAAAGGCCCCCUUAGUAAGUGGCCCACUCAACUUUUCCUAUCCUUAAGGCAAGCCAGUUAUUAAGGAAUUAUCUUUAAUGUUUUUUGCUACACUGACAUAACAAGGACUAUGCUUUAGGUUAUUUUCAGGGCUGUCAAGCGAUUAAUUGCCGUUUUAAUCGCACUGUUAAACAAUAUAAGAAUACCAUUUAUUUAAAUAUUUUGGGGAGGUUUCUAUAUUUUCAAAUAUAGGGUCAGGGCUGGGGACUGGGGGCUCCAGCCCCCCUCUCCCACCCAUAGGGUUUGUGGCACAGGGCUCCAGUCCCCCCAUCACCCAGGAAGCUGUGGGUUGGGGCUGCUUCAGCCCCCCUGCCGCCAAUGUCUCCCACCCUGCCCCAGGUAUGCAAUUAACGUGUUAAGAAAGUUAAUGCAUUAAUUUUGCUUUCAGUUAAUUAAUUGCAGUUAAUGCCUGCACUUGACAGCCUUAGUUAUUUUACAUUCCAAAGUGAGCUGGUUUUAAUUGCAAAUUACUCAAGUUAUUAAACACACACAAGAAUAUAUGAGCAACAAAUGGAAACCAGAAUGAUUCAAUUAAGAUUUCUUACUUCAUCUGUUUUAGUUGUUUGAGCACCAGUCCUGAGUGAUUUACAAUAUUCAGUAUAACUAAACUUAUUACAAUCAAUUAGCUCAAUAGAUUCAUUGGUCUGCCUGGACAGACACAAACUAGUCCAUUCUAAUAACUGUGCCCGCUGACAAUCCCAUUACUUCUUCAUCUCGCCAACACCGUUUUAUUAUAAAAAUAAAAUUCUAUCUUAAAUGUGCA